rnacentral:tRNA from 1 species
GGCCUCGUAGCUCAGUUGGCUAGAGCGUUGGCUGUACUAAAGUCUUUCCUUGCUGGCGUGGGUUCGGAUCCCACCGAGGCCA